ensembl:lncRNA
CUGCAAUAUAUGUAUAGAAAGAGCUCUCUAAUGUAGCAAGAAAGAAAUCCCAAAAGAUGAUGGGGAAAAAAGAUAACUAAAACAAUCUUGCUGAUUGAUCUUUUUCUGAUAAAAGAAAACAUUCUUCUAGCUCGUAGCUGUGAAUUUCAUGAGCUAUAGUGUUUGAAUAAUAACUAAAGCACCCUUCACUACAUAUAGUAAGUGAGCUAAUUCCAAGUGUUAUGUAUCAAUGUAAGGACUUGAUCACCAUGCCCAUACUCAGUCAAAAUUAAAAACAAAUAGAUAAAAAAACAAAAACAAAACACAGAAAAAGGUCUCACAAAGAAAGGCAAUCUGGAAGUCACUGAUGUGAACUCAAGAACUGCUUCUGGACUUCAGACUUCAGUCUGGCAAAGGCUGCUGGGGAUGUGGCUGCCCAUGUGUGUGUCAAAUUCAAAUCAUUCUGUAUGGAUUCCAGGAUACCAAGGCUAUUAUCUGCAAGCCUAUUAUCUCCCAAAUGCAUAAAAACACUUUUAUGGCAUAUACAUCAUGGAUUAGAAAUUCCUUGGUAAUAUGUACCUCCAUGUUCAUUCUUGUACUGCUUCAGGAAUCUUACUUGAAAAACAGCACAAAUUAUUGCUAUCCUGCUGCAUCCCAUAUUGCUGAUAAAUUCAAGUAAUGUAAAGAGAGCUGCUUUGUUUUUUGAUUUGUUCUAAUUUGUUAGACCAUAAAGCUGAAAUGUUGAUUUAGCCUUUAACAAUAUCUAAUUAGUAGAAGUUCCUAUACAAAAUUUUUCUUUGUUUUUAGUGGUUUGAGUUACACUGCCUUUUUUAUAAAGUAUUCUGUGAAAAGAUGAAAUGACUUUUUUUAAUCAUUUCUUUUAAAUUUCAUUAUCUUUUUGAUGACAGUAAUUUUCAUUUUUAUUUUUUAAUCUCCUUUUAGCCAACUUUUUCCCACUUUCUUCUUUGCAGCAAUAUAUUCUUGUAACCAUUUAUUUUGAUAACUUUCAAUGGAAAUUACUUUUUCACAAGGACAGUGUAGUCCUCUAAGAUGAAUUGUUUUUUCUUUUUCAAAAGCUGGUCCUCUCCUGCACCCACUAAAAAUUAUAAAAGUAUCCCUCCGGAAUAUAGCAAAAACUCUCAGGAGAACACAAAUUAACAACAAACUGAAACAAAAAUAGUCUACAGAUAGCUUUCAUAAUCUUUGCAGUCUAUACUAGAGGACAGGUGGGCCUCUACAAAACUCAAAGACUCAGGUACUGUAAAGACUCUUAGAAGUACUUUUUAUCCUCUAGCUGAAAAAUACAGAUGGGAGCUCAGGUAAGAGGCAUCUUGAUGAGACUCGUUUACAAGAUUCUUGUUUCCCUAUAUAUCAGUUUGGUAAGCUUUUGCAGUAUUCUUCUAAAACUCUUUUUCUGAGUUUAUAUUCAUAGCAUGAUAUAUCUCAAAAUUGGAGAAAAGAAUUACUGUAUCUUUUUUUGGAGACUUGAUGCUUAGAAUUAGACCUUAAAGCUUCUGCAUGAUGGAGAAAUUUUAUUAAAUAAUCUCCCCUCAGAAUAUUUUUCCUCUAGCGUAUUUAAGCUUUGAAAACUUCAUGAAAGAGCAGGGGGCAAGUGUAUUAGAACUAUCAGGUCAUAGAGGUACUACAGAUACAUGAAUUAUGCAAGUUGAUUAGAAGUUCAGAACUGGAAAAUGUUUCUUGUGAAAGAAUUGUUAAGAAUUACUUAAGGUGAUCAUAGAAAGAUUGCAUUUACUGUCUUUCCUUAAUAAUAUUACAGAUGUACAACAAAGCUAUUAAAAUGUUUUAACAAAUAUUAAUCUUACUUGUUUUACAAUAGUUUUUCAAUCAAUAAAAAAACACAAUUCAUUUUCAGUUAGUCUAGGAGACUAAAUUGAGUGUAAAUGUAGUGAUUUUUUUGUGUGUGACUUGUAUUAAGUCUUUAUCCAUACCAAUGUAGCACUGUAGUACUUAAAACUUUUUUCAUCUACUCUCCAUCAUUAUUUGCAAAUCACUUAAGUAAGAAUAACUGCAGACAAAAGAACUGUAAGAACAAAGAAUUUAGCUCAUUUAGUUAUGAACAGCUAGUUUUGGUAAUAUAUCUUACCUGCAUCAGAGGUUUCAGCUAUUAAAAAUUCCUUUAUUUUUUCUCCUGUCUUUCUUACCGCUUUUCCUUUUUUUUUUUUUUAUAAUUCAUAGAUGGUAGAGUUCUGCAAUGUUCUGCCAGUCCAGCAAUGUGUGCAAUGUCCUAGCAUAAAAAUACAUACUACGGAUAUUCCUUUUCCAAAGUAAAGUUAUUGAUUUCUUUCACACACUUACUGUAGUUUGAUUAAAAAAAAUAUCUUGAGAGACAAACGUUAUCACCUAAACCAGUUAUCUGGCCUCACAGUGAUUUCCAGAUAUCUUCAGCUGUUGAUAAGACAGUUUUGUAAAACUAUCCGAAUUUCCAAAGUGAAAGGUGAAUUGCGUAAUUACUUUAGAGCUGGACAUGUUCAAAAUGCUCAAAAUCUACAUCAUUACUGCAAAUGCUGGAAGAAGCAUCCUCUUUUUUUUGCAUGUGUGUUUGUAUACAGCAAUACCCACAAACAUUAUUGAAUGCAAGAGCCUAAAUCCUGCCUACAUCAUGGUUUAAGAUCUUAUGAUUCUUUAUGAUCUCUGUUUUUUUCCCCUUAAUGGUUGCUACUCAUCUUCUGUGAAAAGCUGUUGAUAGAAAAUAAAAGCAAACUGAUUUUCAUUAAUCUUAUAUUUAUUUUGUUACCAAUUAAUAAAUAUUUUCCCCAACAUGCAAGUAAAUUACCAUUCCAACAUAAACUGGGUUCUGUUGUUUUUUGUUGUUGUUGUUCGUUUGUUUUCCCCUUAUUUUCUUAAAGAUGGAUUUUAACUGGUAGCAAUAAAUUAGUAAAGAAAGUUUUGUGUAGGCACCCUGUGGGUGGCUGCUGCCUGAGUGCUGGUAGCAGCAGGGGUUCCCCAUGGAGAAGGCACAGCCUGUAGACAGCACCUGUCC